AUGGGGAUGCUGUUCGUGGAGUACCUCCCGGGGCCCAAGGUGUUCAAGUGCAAGUUCUGCAGGGUUGACUCGGCGUCGCCGGACGACAUCGUGUCCAAGGAGUUCCGUGGCCGCCACGGCCGCGCCUACCUCUUCGAUAGCGUGGUGAAUGUGAGCCUUGGUCCCAAUGAGGAUCGCCAUCUUUUGACUGGAUUGCAUACAGUGAACGAUAUCUACUGUAGCUGCUGCCAACGACUCCUUGGCUGGAAAUAUGCGAAAGCCUACAACGAAGACCAGAAGUACAAAGAAGGAAAGUUCAUACUAGAGAAGAACAUGAUGCUGAAAGAAGGACGUUAG
rnacentral:rRNA from 1 species